rnacentral:rRNA from 1 species
GGAAGGUCCGGGCGUUAUCCGGAUUUAUUGGGUUUAAAGGGAGCGUAGGCCGUCUGGUAAGCGUGUUGUGAAAUGUCGGGGCUCAACCUGGGCAUUGCAGCGCGAACUGUCAGACUUGAGUGCGCGGGAAGUAGGCGGAAUNCGUCGUGUAGCGGUGAAAUGCUUAGAUAUGACGAAGAACUCCGAUUGCGAAGGCAGCCUGCUGUAGCGCAACUGACGCUGAAGCUCGAAAGCGUGGGUAUCGAACAGGAUUAGAUACCCUGGUAGUCCACGCGGUAAACGAUGGAUGCUCGCUGUUUGCGUCUGACGUAAGCGGCCAAGCGAAAGCGUUAAGCAUCCCACCUGGGGAGUACGCCGGCAACGGUGAAACUCAAAGGAAUUGAC